rnacentral:rRNA from 1 species
UAGGGAAUCUUCCACAAUGGGCGAAAGCCUGAUGGAGCAACGCCGCGUGUGUGAUAAAGGGUUUCGGCUCGUAAAACACUGUUGUAAGAGAAGAAUGACAUUGAGAGUAACUGUUCAAUGUGUGACGGUAUCUUACCAGAAAGGAACGGCUAAAUACGUGUCAG